AUGAAUCAAUAUCUUCUACUUUUUUCCUUGUAACGAUCGUUAGAACAAUUUGUUGAAUCUUCUUCGAUUAAUCGGUGUUUACUUUACACAGAACGUAAAUAUUACUUCCUUGUAUUGGAAAGUUAAAUUAUAUAUUUUUCUUUCAAUGAUAAAUCAACAAUCGUCAACGAGAAAUUGAUCAAAUAUGGAAAAUUACCUCAAGGAAACAAUUAAAGUCUGUCAACAUAAUGAUCACUAAAUUAGCAGAAUUUAUUAACAUCUAUCCGAUCUCAACUAAUUAUCAUCAUUCAAUUACAAUGCAAUCGAAAUAAUGAGUUCAACUAAUCAAUUGGAAAGGUAAUAAUUUACCUAUUCUUGGCUCUCUAUAAAUUAAAGUUCAAACAAUUAACUUGAUCGAUUUAAUUUUCCAUGACCAUCGAAUUGCUUAAAAUCUGACCUGCUCUCAGAUCUGAAACGUUACAAAUGAGCUGCUUAAUUUGAACGAUAAUUAGGCCUGGUAAAUUACAAUAUUGAUCUCCGACAAUCAAUUACAAUCUCCAAAGGAGUAAAAAAAAUAUCACACAAUUAAUCAUAAUUUAAAUAAUCCAAAUGAUUCAAUCUCUGAAAACAUAGCAUGUUAAUCAUUCACAUCAACUUAAAGUCCAACAUAAUUUCAUUGAUUCUGCAAAUUUUAAAACCUUAAUUAGAUUUAAAAAUGAAAAAAAACUGAAUGAUUAACUCACCAUUCAUGAUCCAUUGAUAUUGUUAAAUGAAUGUAGUUAAAUUAGUCAAGCCAACAAUUAAUUGAACAAAUUAUCAGCUAAUAUGUAAAAUCGUAACAUUGGAAAAACUUAUUUUCAUAUUUGUUUUUUUUUUGCUAAUCAAAUAUUAAAAAACAAUUAAGAGAAAAA